rnacentral:tRNA from 1 species
GUGUGUGUGGCCCAAUGGAUAAGGCACCCGGCCUCCUAAGCCAGAGACUGCGGAUUCGAGUCCCGUCAGAGGUA